rnacentral:misc_RNA from 1 species
GAUGAAGAACGCAGCGAAAUGCGAUACGUAAUGUGAAUUGCAGAAUUCAGUGAAUCAUCGAGUCUUUGAACGCACAUUGCGCCCCCUGGUAUUCCGGGGGGCAUGCCUGUCCGAGCGUCAUUUCAACCCUCGAGCCCCCCCGGGGGCUCGGCGUUGGGGAUCGGCCCCUCACCGGGCCGGCCCCGAAAUACAGUGGCGGUCUCGCCGCAGCCUCCCCUGCGCAGUAGUUUGCACACUCGCAUCGGGAGCGCGGCGCGUCCACGGCCGUAAAACAACCCAAACUUCUGAAAGGUUGACCUCGGAUCAGGUAGGGAUACCCGCUGAACUUAAGCAUAUCAAUAAGCGGAGGA